AGCUUUAGGACCCAAGGGAAUAAUAUAGAACUGGAUCAGGAGAUGUUCAGGUCAGGUGUUUUGAACCUGAUGUAAUCUUCAUGUGUUUCCAUGAGAAAUGAAUCAUCUGCAUUCAACAAACCUAUUGACUUUGUUGUACCAGGCCUGUUUUUCCAUCGGAGUUAUUUCACAGAGGUAUCCUCUUCAAAUAAGAUUGUGGAAUGAAAUAUCAGUUCCUAUUGACAGCUCUCAUUUAUUCAUCAUAUGCGUGAUGAGCAUCAUAUGCACAAUGAAGGAAAGCCUGUGGAACAGAGUCUGUUACCUGAGCUCGAAGGUGAUUCUGAAUCUGUUUUGAAUGUGGAUU